rnacentral:rRNA from 1 species
UACGUAGGGGGCGAGCGUUGUCCGGAUUUACUGGGCGUAAAGGGUGAGUAGGCGGUUGUAUAUGUCAGGUGUAAAAGGCUAUGGCUUAACCAUGGUUAGCACUUGAAACUGUACAACUUGAGUGCAGGAGAGGUAAGUGGAAUUCCUAGUGUAGCGGUGAAAUGCGUAGAUAUUAGGAGGAACACCAGUGGCGAAGGCGACUUACUGGACUGUAACUGACGCUGAGUCACGAAAGCGUGGGUAGCAAACAGGAUUAGAUAUCCGGGUAGUCCCU